ensembl:snoRNA U3 Small nucleolar RNA U3
GUGACAGUGACUUUCAGGGAUCAUUUCUAUAGUUGGUUACUAGAGCAGUUUCUCUGAUCGUGUAGGGCUCCCGGACCUAUGAGGGGGAGCCAGAGCACGCUCUCCUGAGUGUGAGCCCGAAUCUAGAUGUUGCUUUUGCAGCUGCCGUUUUUCGUUGAUGAGUCUUCCAUUCCUUCGGAAGAGUGAGAGGGAGAAGAUGCAGUCUGAGUGG